GCUCGCAUCAGAGGGAGUAUGAUGAAGAACAAGAGAGGAAGAAACGGAAGGAAAUGGAACAAAAGGCCAAGAAUGAAGAGCUGAUUAAGCUGGCUGAACAGAGAAAGAAAGAAGUUGAGAGAGAGAAGAAAGAAGCAGAAGAGAAGGAGAGAAGAGCAGCAGUGAGAAGAGAGUACGAGAGGGAGAGGCAGGCUCGGGUGGAGGAGAUCUGCAGGGAGCCCUCACCUCCAAUCCCGGCUCUGCAGAGGAAACAUGGC